AAGGAAGAGGCACCUGAGGUUCCAUCAAGGACAACAUGCUCUAGGCAGCAGUCAGUUAAUGUUUUGCGAGUCACAAAUUCUGUAACAAAGUGUCAUGAAGGGAUGGCUUUUCUGUCGAGUAGCAGCGACCUGUCAGGGACCACUGGAGCAGAGUAAUGAGACGCGCAGGGACGCUUGGAGCCACCUCCUGCGACACGGUCCGAACGCCUCUACGGCAGGUCCUCAGUGUCACAGAGGGGCAGGCACAGGCUUGGGGAAUGACCAUCAAUCACAAUAUUGCCGUGUUUUUUCACAGAAUUGAUUCAUUUGCUGUCUCCGUCCUUUCUUCCUUUAUCAACUCCCCCUUAGCCUGUGAUCGGUACGUGGGUCAGACGUCCUCCUGUGGCCUUGGCCGCAAACCUCAUGCCGCCACGCCCAAGUCUCUUUAAUGAACUGCGGACCCGUGAGUGCAUCUGACCAGCUCUCCACUGGCACAGCCGGGCACCGCAAAGUAAGUGGUGGGAAUUCAACUCACCUCCUCGGCCCUGGACCACACCUCUUCCUCGUGGGAGUGGACGCAGAGACGUAAGGGUCACCUUACCUGUUAAAGGGCAACUCCUACAAGCCACAGCGGACCUCUGGCUUCCCCGGAAACUCCAGGUGCGAUCUCUGCGGAGUGUCGGGCCAAGGGCAUGACUGCUCUCACGGCAAUGGCCAUCUGGCCAAAAGAGACGGUGUCCUUUGGGGCACCUGAUCACGCGGAUGGCUGCUUCCCAUGGAUAUUGAAGGACCAAGAAUAGUCCAGACGAGGCUGAAGCCAGAGCAGAAAGGAGAGAGACUCCUUCCGUCCAAAAGCGACCGUCCGUGUGGAGCUAUGAUAGAUGUGAGAGUCCUACAUGCGACAGGUAGGACUUUGCAGCAUUUGGGAGAAAUGGCUUUAUGGCAUCGAGAGUCCAGAACAAAUUCUUAAGCGAGACAUGAGAUUGUCAACCAUAAAACUGAAGCCUGAUGCAUUUGGCUAUCUCAUAAUUAGUAGCUUCUGUACAACAGAAGACACCAUAAACAAAGUGAAAAGUCGAACAACAAGCCACAGAUCAAGAGGCAGUAUUUUCUAUAAACAUAACAUAUAAAUGAUCACUGUCCAGCAUAUAUAAAGAGCUUAUGGUAAUCAACAAGACAAUGCAAAGAAAGGACCAACCAAAAAACAGGCCAUGAAAAAGGCACCCUUUCCCUAGGAAUCAGGAAAAUGCAAGUUUAAGCAACGAUUUUAUAAUCCUCGCGUUAACAGAGACUAAGGAGGGAGCGGUAGCAGUGCUGACCCACAGUAGGUAAGCUCUCAGGCAGCCCGAGGUGGGGGGAUUCUGGCCCCACCGUUUGAAAAGCAACCUGUCUGCUGGUGAAGCUGGACCCGGCGGGCCCCUCCACCCCGGGACCCCCUCCCUCCCGGACCCUGGAAACACUGUCGCGUUUUGCAGGAGAAGUGGGAGCCGUGGCGGGGACCAG